UAUGCAUUCUUUUGGUUUCUUUUUCUUCGUUCCACUAUCAUUUCUUCUCCUGUACAUCCCUUUCUAUGCAAUCCCUAUGUCCUCGGCGUAGCCACACUUCCGCUCCUCGCUCCAUCGCUCUAUCGCCUCAGAUCAAUUCCACUCCUUCGACAUUCCUAGCCUGCCAAAAUAAAAUCUACACUGCUUAUGUUUCUUUUCUCUGUGAUUGCAAUUGCAUGCUUGUCAUCUUCCGUGGCUUGUCAAUCUGCCGUGUUUCUCCAUGGAUACAUUUGCCCCCAAUUUGAAUAUGGUAUUCAUAGAUUAAGGAGCAAGAUAGAGAGAGGUUAAAGAGAUGCAUGGAGAUGGUUGCCAGAAAUCAGAUACAGAAAUUGCGCAUAUGAUAGAGAUGCUUCAAUGCCUUGGUGGUUGUAAUCUAAAAUUUCCCAUGACAGAAUGUUGACAUCGGCAGAGCCAAGACAACAUGCAUCAUUUGAUGAAGAAGAAAUCAACGACACAUAUAACAUUACUUCAGUUGAUGAAGAAUAAAUUUUGAUUCAAACCUUGAGGACAAACACAUCUAAGAGAACCAAAGUUAGUAAUACGAACACCACAAGGAAGCCAGAAGGAAUAACAAGACAAAAAAAAUAGAAAGAGCAAUUCAAUGCGUAGCUUAUAUUUCAUUUCCUGCACUUUACAUCAUGUAUUUGACUAUUUUAUUUCUAAAUCAAAAGCUUAGCUUAUUUACAUCAUGGUCAAAUAAUGGUUACCUUAGAUUUGACAAUAACCACUCAUGUGUGAAUUGGAAAAAAAACCACUACUAAUGCAUAAGAUGUAAUAGUAAUACUUAAACUCCACUAAUGCUCGAAAUGUAGUGAAUCACUUUGUAUGUCUUAAAAACUACCAAUACUAUAAGAAAGAUUUA